CCUACGGGGCGCAGCAGUGGGGAAUAUUGCACAAUGGGCGCAAGCCUGAUGCAGCCAUGCCGCGUGUGAAGAAGGCCUUCGGGUUGUAAAGCACUUUCAGCGGGGAGGAAGGCGUUAAGGUUAAUAACCUUGGCGAUUGACGUUACCCGCAGAAGAAGCACCGGCUACUCCGUGCCAGCAGCCGCGGUAAUACGGAGGGUGCAAGCGUUAAUCGGAAUUACUGGGCGUAAAGCGCACGCAGGCGGUCUGUCAAGUCGGAUGUGAAAUCCCCGGGCUCAACCUGGGAACUGCAUUCGAAACUGGCAGGCUAGAGUCUUGUAGAGGGGGGGUAGAAUUCCAGGUGUAGCGGUGAAAUGCGUAGAGAUCUGGAGGAAUACCGGUGGCGAAGGCGGCCCCCUGGACAAAGACUGACGCUCAGGUGCGAAAGCGUGGGGAGCAAACAGGAUUAGAUACCCGUGUAGUC
rnacentral:rRNA from 1 species